CGCUGGCGGCGUGCCUAACACAUGCAAGUCGAACGGGGCACCUUCGGGUCAACUUAGUGGCGAACGGGUGAGUAACGCGUGAGGAACCUACCUUCCAGUGGGGGACAACAGUUGGAAACGACUGCUAAUACCGCAUAACACAACGAGACCGCAUGAUCUUGUUGUCAAAGCUUUAUGUGCUGGAAGAUGGCCUCGCGUCUGAUUAGCUAGUUGGUGGGGUAACGGCCUACCAAGGCGACGAUCAGUAGCCGGACUGAGAGGUUGAACGGCCACAUUGGGACUGAGAUACGGCCCAGACUCCUACGGGAGGCAGCAGUGGGGAAUAUUGGGCAAUGGGGGAAACCCUGACCCAGCAACGCCGCGUGAAGGAAGAAGGCCUUCGGGUUGUAAACUUCUUUUACCAGGGACGAAGAACGUGACGGUACCUGGAGAAAAAGCAACGGCUAACUACGUG
rnacentral:rRNA from 1 species